rnacentral:rRNA from 1 species
UACGUAGGGCGCAAGCGUUGUCCGGAAUUAUUGGGCGUAAAGAGCUCGUAGGCGGCUUGUCACGUCGGGUGUGAAAGCCCGGGGCUUAACCCCGGGUCUGCAUUCGAUACGGGCUGGCUAGAGUGUGGUAGGGGAGAUCGGAAUUCCUGGUGUAGCGGUGAAAUGCGCAGAUAUCAGGAAGAACACCGAUGGCGAAGGCAGAUCUCUGGGCCGUAACUGACGCUGAGGAGCGAAAGCAUGGGGAGCGAACAGG